GGGGGUGUAAUAGAUUUGACGGGUAUCUGUUGCUUUCUGGGAGCAAGUACCGGUUGGCCAGGCCGGUUAAAAUAGGGCCAAAAAAAUAACUAACGACAAUCAAGUCGCUUGGGCUAACGCUUAGUCCACUGCCUCUUUUGUGUUUCCUGUGCGCAAAAGAACGGCAGUCACCACACAGGAUGCAACGCGGUGGCGCGGGCCGUCCUACGCGUGUAAGACUAACGGACCAAACGAGUAGCGUGCUUCCUUGCGCUUAGCUACUUGUACACAGCAAGGAUAAACUUGUAGGGCCUAGGGAGAGAGGAUGUUCGGACGGGGGUGCGAAUCCCCCCACCUCCACCA
rnacentral:tmRNA from 1 species